rnacentral:rRNA from 1 species
AGAGUUUGAUCCUGGCUCAGAUUGAACGCUGGCGGCAGGCCUAACACAUGCAAGUCGAGCGGUAACAGAAAUUAGCUUGCUAAUUUGCUGACGAGCGGCGGACGGGUGAGUAAUGCCUGGGAAUAUGCCUUAGUGUGGGGGAUAACUAUUGGAAACGAUAGCUAAUACCGCAUAACGUCUUCGGACCAAAGAGGGGGAUCUUCGGACCUCUCGCGCUAAGAUUAGCCCAGGUGAGAUUAGCUAGUUGGUGAGGUAAGAGCUCACCAAGGCGACGAUCUCUAGCUGGUCUGAGAGGAUGAUCAGCCACACUGGAACUGAGACACGGUCCAGACUCCUACGGGAGGCAGCAGUGGGGAAUAUUGCACAAUGGGCGAAAGCCUGAUGCAGCCAUGCCGCGUGUAUGAAGAAGGCCUUCGGGUUGUAAAGUACUUUCAGUAGGGAGGAAGGUGUUGUCGUUAAUAGCGGCAGCAUUUGACGUUACCUACAGAAGAGGCACCGGCUAACUCCGUGCCAGCAGCCGCGGUAAU